rnacentral:snoRNA from 1 species
UGGCAGGACUUAAUUCCGGAUUUGGUACACCCUUGGGUGCUAAGUGCGGCCAGACAUUCUGCCAGACCAAAGCCCAGGCAUUGGCGUCUUCAGCAGUUGCCGUUCUGUGGCCUCUGUCUGAACAUGCCACUGCUACAGU